UUACUGUGUUAUUAAGAAGUUAUAGUUGGAUUUCUUUUUGUUUAGUUCCACUUACUGCAGCGAAAGUGCCCGCCCCCUUCCCCACAUCCCGAAGCGGUUUACAAGAGUCACAAAUAACAGGAUUAAUUCAAUUUAGUAUUCCGGUAUAUCCCUCUUGGAUUACAAACCUAUAAAGAGAGUCGUGUACAUACAUAUACCGUUGGCAAUGGACCAAUUUUAUUUUUAGCCACGAAGACACACACCCGGACCCUCCGUAAUAUCCGCUCGCUAGAGGCAGCAUUUUUAUUACUAGUUGGUUAUAGUUUUUCCAGACGCUUGAGCUCACGAUACACGCACGUUACCCUACUAUCUCCCGGUUAUACGCGCUUUAAAACACGUGUUCGGCCAGGGAGGGGAAGGGGAAUCUCUCAUUUAAUCCGCAUGAAUUCUGAUAAUUUUACCAUUUAGACCAUAGAGAAACGUUUACUAUAUGUUUCAACGAGAAAUCAACUGCUGAAAAAACUGCUUUUAUAC